rnacentral:rRNA from 1 species
CCUACGGGGGGCAGCAGUAGGGAAUAUUGCUCAAUGGGGGAAACCCUGAAGCAGCCACGCCGCGUGCAGGAGGAAGGCUUUCGGAAUGUAAAGCUCUUUUUGUCGAGAAGAAAAUGACGGUACCUGACUAAGAAGCACCGGCUAACUCCGUGCCAGCAGCAGUGGUAAUACGUAGGGGGCAAGCGUUAUCCGGAUUCACGGGGCGUAAAGGGAGCGUAGUCGGGUAAGCAAGUCAGAGGUGAAACCCCAGGGCUCAACCUUGGAACUGCUUUUGAAACUGGUCUGCUAGAGUGUAGGAGAGGUAGGCGGAAUUCAUGGUGUAGCGGUGAAAUGCGUAGAGAUCAGGAGGAAUACUGAUUGCGAAGGCGGCUUACU